rnacentral:rRNA from 1 species
GAUGAACGCUAGCUACAGGCUUAACACAUGCAAGUCGAGGGGAAACGACAUCGAAAGCUUGCUUUUGAUGGGCGUCGACCGGCGCACGGGUGAGUAACGCGUAUCCAACCUGCCCAUCACUUGGGAAUAACCUUGCGAAAGUAAGACUAAUACCCAAUGACAUCCCACGAAGACAUCUGAAUGGGAUUAAAGAUUUAUCGGUGAUGGAUGGGGAUGCGUCUGAUUAGCUUGUUGGCGGGGUAACGGCCCACCAAGGCAACGAUCAGUAGGGGUUCUGAGAGGAAGGUCCCCCACAUUGGAACUGAGACACGGUCCAAACUCCUACGGGAGGCAGCAGUGAGGAAUAUUGGUCAAGGGGCGAGAGCCUGAACCAGCCAAGUAGCGUGCAGGAUGACGGCCCUAUGGGUUGUAAACUGCUUUUAUAAGGGAAUAAAGUGGGUCUCGUGAGACUUUUUGCAUGUACCUUAUGAAUAAGGACCGGCUAAUUCCGUG